GACAGAGGAUGCAAGCGUUAUCCGGAAUGAUUGGGCGUAAAGCGUCUGUAGGUGGCUUUUUAAGUCCGCCGUCAAAUCCCAGGGCUCAACCCUGGACAGGCGGUGGAAACUACCAAGCUGGAGUACGGUAGGGGCAGAGGGAAUUUCCGGUGGAGCGGUGAAAUGCGUAGAGAUCGGAAGGAACACCAGUGGCGAAGGCGGCCUUCUGGACCAGUACUGACGCUCAUGCACGAAAGCGUGGGGAGCAAACAGG
rnacentral:rRNA from 1 species